rnacentral:rRNA from 1 species
GAUGAACGCUGGCGGCGUGCCUAAUACAUGCAAGUCGAGCGAACAGACGAGGAGCUUGCUCCUCUGACGUUAGCGGCGGACGGGUGAGUAACACGUGGAUAACCUACCUAUAAGACUGGGAUAACUUCGGGAAACCGGAGCUAAUACCGGAUAACAUGUUGAACCGCAUGGUUCAACAGUGAAAGACGGUUUUGCUGUCACUUAUAGAUGGAUCCGCGUCGCAUUAGCUAGUUGGUAAGGUAACGGCUUACCAAGGCAACGAUGCGUAGCCGACCUGAGAGGGCGAUCGGCCACACUGGAACUGAGACACGGUCCAGACUCCUACGGGAGGCAGCAGUAGGGAAUCUUCCGCAAUGGGCGAAAGCCUGACGGAGCAACGCCGCGUGAGUGAAGAAGGUCUUCGGAUCGUAAAACUCUGUUAUUAGGGAAGAACAAAUGUGUAAGUAACUAUGCACGUCUUGACGGUACCUAAUCAGAAAGCCACGGCUAACUACGUG